rnacentral:rRNA from 1 species
CCUACGGGUGGCAGCAGUGAGGAAUAUUGGUCAAUGGACGCGAGCCUGAACCAGCCAAGUAGCGUGAAGGAUGACUGCCCUCCGGGUUGUAAACUUCUUUUAUAAAGGAAUAAAGUGAGGCAAGUGUGCCUUUUUGUAUGUACUUUAUGAAUACGGAUCGGCUAACUCCGUGCCAUCAGCCGCGGUAAUACGGAGGGUCCGAGCGUUAUCCGGAUUUAUUGGGUUUAAAGGGAGCGAAGAUGGGUUGUUAAGUCAGUUGUGAAAGUUUGCGGCUCAACCGGAAAAUUGCAAUUGAUACUGGCAGCCUUGAGUACAGGUGAGGUAGGCGGAAUUCGUGGUGGAGCGGUGAAAUGCUUAGAUAUCAGGAAGAACACCGAUUGCGAAGGCAGCUUACUAAACUGCCACUGACGUUGAGGCUCGAAAGUGUGGGGAGCAAACAGGAUUAGAUACCCCGGUAGUC